rnacentral:rRNA from 1 species
UACGGAGGGGGCAAGCGUUGUUCGGAAUUAUUGGGCGUAAAGGGCGCGUAGGCGGCUAGAUGUGUCGAAGGUGAAAUCCCUCGGCUCAACUGAGGAACUGCCUUUGAAACUGUCUGGCUUGAGGCCGGGAGAGGGUAGCGGAAUUCCCAGUGUAGCGGUGAAAUGCGUAGAUAUUGGGAGGAACACCAGUGGCGAAGGCGGCUCACUGGACCGGUACUGACGCUGAGGCGCGAAAGCGUGGGGAGCAAACGGG